rnacentral:SRP_RNA from 1 species
AGGUACCAAGGUACACCUAGCUUGCUCGACCGCGAUC